UACGUAGGGGGCAAGCGUUGUCCGGAUUUAUUGGGCGUAAAGAGCGUGUAGGCGGCUUUACAGGUCCGUUGUGAAAACUCGAGGCUCAACCUCGAGACGCCGGUGGAAACCGUAAGGCUAGAGUCCGGAAGAGGAGAGUGGAAUUCCUGGUGUAGCGGUGAAAUGCGCAGAUAUCAGGAAGAACACCUAUGGCGAAGGCAGCUCUCUGGGACGGUACUGAGCUGAGACGCGAAAAGCGUGGGGGAGCGAA
rnacentral:rRNA from 1 species